rnacentral:rRNA from 1 species
UACGGGGGGGGCAAGCGUUGUUCGGAAUUACUGGGCGUAAAGGGCGCGUAGGUGGCGCUGUAAGUCGGGUGUGAAAUCCUGAGGCUUAACCUCGGAACUGCAUUCGAUACUGCGGUGCUUGAGGACUGGAGAGGAGACUGGAAUUCAUGGUGUAGCAGUGAAAUGCGUAGAGAUCAUGAGGAAGACCAGUGGCGAAGGCGGGUCUCUGGACAGUUCCUGACACUGAGGCACGAAGGCCAGGGGAGCAAACGGG